CCUACGGGUGGCAGCAGUGAGGAAUAUUGGUCAAUGGGCGCGAGCCUGAACCAGCCAAGUAGCGUGAAGGAUGACUGCCCUAUGGGUUGUAAACUUCUUUUAUAUGGGAAUAAAGUGUUCCACGUGUGGCUUUUUGUAUGUACCAUAUGAAUAAGGAUCGGCUAACUCCGUGCCAGCAGCCGCGGUAAUACGGAGGAUCCGAGCGUUAUCCGGAUUUAUUGGGUUUAAAGGGAGCGUAGGUGGGUUGUUAAGUCAGUUGUGAAAGUUUGCGGCUCAACCGUAAAAUUGCAAUUGAUACUGGCAGUCUUGAGUACAGUAGAGGUAGGCGGAAUUCGUGGUGUAGCGGUGAAAUGCUUAGAUAUCACGAAGAACUCCGAUUGCGAAGGCAGUUCACUGGACUGCAACUGACACUGAGGCUCGAAAGUGUGGGUAUCAAACAGGAUUAGAUACCCCAGUAGUC
rnacentral:rRNA from 1 species